AUUUACAAUAUUUAUAUAAUUAUGAAUAUACACAUAUGUGUAUUCAUAAUUAAAUAUAUACAUAUGUAUAUGUACGUCUAUUGUUUAUUGAGAACGAUCAUGUAACACUGGAUUUCGUGAAUGUGUUAAGGUUCAUCGCAUGGCAAGUUUGCCAGCAACCGGGUCGAACAUCGUAUCAGAUGAUUUUCACGUUUUGAUGGAGUUGUUGACCCUUGUAAAGGUAUCUGCGUGCCGCCACGAUUAUACACUUUCAGCGCGCUAGUGUGAAUGUACGACUACCUGUCCGGUCAAGGUGGACGAUCCAUCAUCGUGUCAACGGAGCGUUACACUAUACGACCAGGAAUUUCUAACAUUCCCCCUCGUGUACGUAUUCGUCCUCUAUCGAGUUUGAACGAUUUUUUUUUUUUUUUUAAGCGGGCCAGAUAAAGAAUAGCAAAAUAAGAAGGGUGCAAUCUUAUCGCGAACACGAGGAUUAAAGGAAAAAAAUAAUAUAAGAUUGAAAGUGAAAUCGUAAGAAGCACGAAUAUCGUUGAAACUUGUUUCAUUCGUGCGCAGAAAAACGAAAGAUAUACGGUUGACAAAGAGAUAAUGAGUCAUGACACGAGUGAUGAAAGAUGUUGUUGAGAUUUCGCGUCUACAUUAUUUUUAUUUCUUAAACUAGCGAUAAUGUAAAGUCAAUUACUUUUGACAGAUCAAAGAAUAAUAUUCCUAACUAAAUAUUCAUGAAACAGACAACUUAAUUCUCAAACUUUACCAUGCAAAACUUCCAACGGUACUUCAUUCCACAAACUCAAAAAUCUCAUGCAACGUUAGCAUCUUUCAAUUUUUGGUUAAAACCCAAAAGGAUAAUCGCUUAUUUCUUAUCUUCCCUAGGAACAAGCCUUCUGUUCUUGUUGGAGAGCCAAGUAUCUGUCGAAUUAACGGUAAUCCUUUUUAAAUAAUAAAUCUUCCGUUAAGUGUAAUGAAUCCGUGAAAAACGAGGAUGGCUGAGAAGUGCAAGGUGCCAGGAUACGAGGCGUCUUUUGUAGAGGUUAGGACAACCAGUGGCGAUAAACGGUGCCAGCGGUACAGACGUAGCUGUAAAAUAGGCCAAGACUUUAGAACGAUACUCGCUGCUUGCUGCUUAGCCUCGUUAUUAACCAGGACUUGGAUAUUUGGAUACCCUUAAUCUCUUUUCUACGAUCCUACAGAGUCUAACCUGCCUGACCGAACAAUAUCAAGUUGCCUACCGCGAUGCCAGUGCUACUCUGGACUCGCUAUCUGAUUUUAAAGGACACGCCAUCGAAGAUGAUCCUCCGUUGACAAAAGGUGUCAAGACCGAACCUGAAUCGUUGUCCGGAAUUUUUCCCAAAAUUGCCAGCGCCGUUUUACCGGAUGCAAUUGACACGCGUGAUAAAAUAAAUGAUUGAUCGAAUGCUUGCGUAAAUAUCGUGAAGGAUAAUAGAGAUAUAAGGAAAGAGGAGUUAUACAAGAAAAUACCACGUUUUAAUGAAACUUGAAACUACAAAUAUAAUUUUCCGCUAUUGAUCAUCGUACCAUAACUGCAGCUCGAUGCUAUGAGUCAAGAGAAUAAAAUCGUUUAAAACAAGAUUCGUAUCGACGAAAGUGGAAACCGCGGCAAAGAAACGGUAGAAAUCAAGGCCAAGUUCAUCAACUGGGAGAAAGAACACUGAACACCUAACAAGACCAAGAAAAAGAACGAAACGCAGAAGGAAAGACAGAAAGAAAAAAAUAUAUACGCACACGGCAGCAUCGUCGAGAUCCUUCACGAGUCAGUUCGAUGAGGAGAACGGCAGAGAAACGAUACGCGAUGAAGAUAGACGAAUACAGUGGAAUCACGAAGGGAAGAGAGAAAGGAGGAGCCAGUUCAACGAGUUCUAAGGCGGUGGCGGCCUUAAAAAGAUGUCGAACGCUUUGAUGUUUGCCGCACGUCAUCUUGUGCGCUACCUCUGCGCGCUGAUCCACGCUACAACCAACGACUAGCGAGGGAUUGCCGAAAGAUCGCGAUCAAGAGGGUAGAAUCGCGUGCAGGUACCCUUUAGUCUUCGCAGUUCGCACGAAUUUGCAUCACCUUGAUGGUUCACUCGUAUAUACUCUUUUUAAAGACGUGUCUUGUCGACGAAAUAGUUCACGAACACUGUUUGCAAAUAGAUGCUAGCAAACAUUUAUAUUUAUAUAUAUAUUACACCUUUUGAUUUGACCUACAAGCUUGAGAUGUUCGAUUAACAUUUAUGUCCAUGUCAAAAAUUUCACAAUUUACACAGCUUAAAGAACUCAUCUCGGAAAAACUGUUAUUACUCUUUAACAUGUUCCAAAAGAAAUUUGAAUAUGUUCAAUGAGCCUUCAGUCGACUUUUUAACAUUUUCAAAACGCAUCUCCUUUUAAAAAUAAUCGCAAAUGUCUCGUAUCGAUAACUAUAUCAAUGGUUCAAUCAUCGAUAUGGAGCGUAUUAUACGGCUACGUGGAAGUUUUCCGCGUGAUGCGAGUUCCGCUAAGCGGUAUCGCGGCGGUCGAUCGAUUGCGAGGACAUCAAUACUCAUUAACGUUCGUUGCAUCGGCGUUCGGAUCGUUCCGGACAAAGAUUUCAGUGACUUGCCCGGUAACCAUAACGGAUGACCACACGGUGAACGUGCAGGUCUACAAGGGUUGAUGACGAUGCCAGGAUCACAAAUUAAGGCGCAGUAGAGGAAGUUUUCAUUGAAAGCUAGGAACCACAAAGAAGCAGUUGGAAAAUGGACAAAUAUCUACGAGGCCAUUUUUAUGAAUAGAACUAUCCGAGAUGUCAGACUUCUUGUAGCUACAUAUUUCAAUUUCAUUGUCCAUUCAUAGUUGAUAUUCAAUUUUAAGAUUUUUCAUGAUAUUCCUAAGUUUACUGUCGAAAAGAAGCAAACGGCUAAUUGUUACUAACGUACAUAUUUUUACAACAUGAACCAUAACUUACAUCCUCAGAUUCAUCCAAUAACCAUCAUUCACCAGUAACUUAAUACCCAAUUUCUAACAAAGAAACAUUUCUAAAUUCCAGGAAUACACAACAAAGAUACCAACAUAUGAAUUAUACAAAACUCAAAUAAAUCCAAAACACCAUACAAGACUUUCCAAAUCACAGCUGGAAUAACCUGGGCGUGUGCUUUCGAGGACUUUCCACGAUCUCGAGAAAUGAAGUGCUCAUCGAUACUGUUCUCCUGACAAAUGUGCACAUUGUCGGUGAACAGCGUGCUUCCAACUUCACAAUUACACCGUUGCUCGAUUAUUCGAUGUAAAAGGAGAAUCAGGAUGCUUUCCAUCGAUGGGAGUCGGCCGUUCUGGACGAACGGAUCGUUGAAUGCCGGCAGAUCCUUUUUACGCUUCCUCCCCAGAGGAUCGGUCGCUUCCUA